CACCAUCUCGCACAGAGAAGACAUCAACUUCCAUUUGCAGAGGUGCAGACGCGAUUCUGUGCUCGCUGCUCCAGCUGAAGUAGACGGGACAGCCUCCGAAGGGGAGCCCGAAGUGUGCCGGGCCCAGACUCCACAUCCCGUUCUCUGCCGAGUGCUGUGAGCACAGGCGGGCGCAGCAGACCGUGGGACAGCUGCCGACGCUCCAGUCACUCCAGCGUGGAGGUGGUGACGUCUGGCUGACCUGUUUGCUGCUGCCGCAGCCAUGGGGGAAAGAGUUCACGGCAGAGGACAGGGAGCCCCACUCCCUGGUUCUGUCUCCACCGUAUCCAGUUUGCAAGCACCCACAAGUCCUCCGCGUGCCGUUGCACCCACAAAUUUGCUGGGCUGGAGCCCCACAUGGCCAGUGAGCGCUGAGGACGCUGGCUGGGUUCAGCCCCUCAAUGGAGAAGACCUAGCUGGUGAAUUCUGAUCAGGCUUGGGGACAAGCAACGAUCUGAGCUUUGGUUGGGGAGAUGGAUGCAGCUCAUAUGAUACAGUUAAACGAAAGAAAGCAAGAAAAAUCGAAUGAUUUUUCAGACCCGUGGCUUUGGUUUUCUAUAGUAUCUACAGUUGCUUCUUCUUUCUGAUAUUAACUUCCGUUAAAUAUAGAUUUGUAUUUGUUUAAAGUUUGGAUCAUCAUGUUAUUUGUUAACCUGAGGGCACUCAGCUGAUCCUGUAAGCCUGGUUAUUGCUUGAUCUGUUCAAAAAACCAAGACUUUUCCUGUAUUUACAAGUGUUAUCAUUGUCAAAUAUUAAAUGAUAUGCUGAACCAUUGUGAAACAAUGUGUCUCAUGACACAUCUGUCAGUGGGCAUAUUUAACUGGUUUGGGUUUUGUAUCUUUUACAAAUAAAUUGCAUUUCCUCGUCCUA